CAAAGAGUAGCUUAACUAAAGCAUCCCGCUUACACCGAGAAUAUAUCUGAUAAACCCAGGUCUCUUUGA
rnacentral:tRNA from 1 species